rnacentral:misc_RNA from 1 species
GUGAAUCAUCAAAUCUUUGAACGCAAAUUGCGCCUUUUUCGGAAGGCAUGUCUGUUUGAGGGCACCAUUUAACAAAUAAUGUGCAGCGUUUUUUGUUGCACACGUUGAUGAGCUUUCCAAGAAUUUUAAAUUUUUGGUGGCGCAUAAUGAACAGCGUGAAAGUUUUUUUUAAUUUCGAGUGUAGAAAAAUCUUUGCUUGGUUUGUGAAAAAACAUAUUCGGCAAUUGGGUGUGGCAAUUUCUUUUUAUCCUUGCCCCAUUGCACCUCUUCCCCACGAAAGAAUGUCUAUUCCU